ACACCCAAACUCACUUUUUUGACGCACAUAACCACCUAGGAGGAAUAUUCCGGCGAAUCUUCUGAUUUUCCAAUGCACGUGCGAUACACAUGCUUAAUGGAGGGUUUUUUUUGUUAUUUCACCUUAAAAAAAUCGUGGGCCCUCUUUUUGCUCUUUCUUCUCCUUCUCUCUCUUAUUCUCUCUCUCUUUCACGCACACCCACACACAUACAAACAUGCCCCAUCAUCAUCUUCUGCUUCUCUUCUUUCUUUGUGCUUUUGUCAAGAAUCAUUUUUUUCCCAAAAGAAACUCCGCGAGCAAUGCUGUGAUGGGAACUGUGAAAGUAUAAAAUCAUGUGG
rnacentral:lncRNA from 1 species